GACGAACGCUGGCGGCGUGCUUAACACAUGCAAGUCGAACGGAAAGGCUCCAGCUUGCUGGAGUACUCGAGUGGCGAACGGGUGAGUAACACGUGGGUAAUCUGCCCUGCACUCUGGGAUAAGCCUGGGAAACUGGGUCUAAUACUGGAUAUGACCUUUCUCCUUAUGGGGUUUGGUGGAAAGUUUUUCGGUGUAGGAUGAGCCCGCGGCCUAUCAGCUUGUUGGGGGGGUGAUGGCCUACCAAGGCGACGACGGGUAGCCGGCCUGAGAGGGUGAGCGGCCACACUGGGACUGAGAUACGGCCCAGACUCCUACGGGAGGCAGCAGUGGGGAAUAUUGCACAAUGGGCGCAAGCCUGAUGCAGCGACGCCGCGUGAGGGAUGACGGCCUUCGGGUUGUAAACCUCUUUCAGCACCGACGAAGCGCAAGUGACGGUAGGUGCAGAAGAAGGACCGGCCAACUACGUGCCAGCCGCCGCCGUAA
rnacentral:rRNA from 1 species